AACGUACACAGGUGCUGCAUGGCUGUCGUCAGCUCGUGUCGUGAGAUGUUGGGUUAAGUCCCGCAACGAGCGCAACCCUUGUCAUUAGUUGCUACAUUCAGUUGGGCACUCUAAUGAGACUGCCGGUGACAAACCGGAGGAAGGUGGGGAUGACGUCAAGUCCUCAUGGCCCUUAUAGGUGGGGCUACACACGUCAUACAAUGGAUGGUACAAAGGGUCGCCAACCCGCGAGGGGGAGCCAAUCCCAUAAAGCCAUUCGUAGUCCGGAUCGCAGUCUGCAACUCGACUGCGUGAAGUCGGAAUCGCUAGUAAUCGUGGAUCAGAAUGUCACGGUGAAUACGUUCCCGGGUCUU
rnacentral:rRNA from 1 species